ACCUAGCCAGUAGUCACUCUCUUCCCACACUCUCGCUUUCUGCACUCUCGAGGCCUGCAGCCAGUAGUCACUCUCUUCCCACACUCUCGCUUUCUGCACUCUCGAGGCCUGCGGCGAACCCACCUAGCGCCGGCGAGACCGUUCCUCCCACCACCUUGCAGCGCCGCCGAACUCUCCCCCCUAGCGCCUCCGAACCUUCGCUCCCAGGACCUCCUCGUGAACAGAGCACCACCUUCGCACCCAGCAGUAGCACAGCACCACCCACUCACCCAGCAGUGUUUCUAGCCACCCACAACGUAGCACCUCCCACCCAGCCACCGAUUCAAGUCAUAUAUGGAGCGGUAGCCACCGAGCCAGUAUGGAGCUUUCAAGAUCUUUGUCUCCUUUUGUUGCCAAUAUGACAGCUUUGACAAAUAUGGUAUGUAUGUAUAAGCAAGUUGCUCAGAUGGCUGAACUGAAGAAGAUUUUGUAUGGGAAAUUCAAGGACUCGAUCAAUCUGGAGAGGAGACACUAUAAUUUGGCUAUCUUUUAAUGGAAAUUUAUUUUUAUUUUUAGUUGUGUUGACUAUUGAACUUUUAAACUUCUUUAAUUGUCGUAUUUAAAUUCCUUUUGUCCUUAAAUUUCAUUAGACCAAUACGUUGUUAACGAUUGUGUAUUUGUGCUUGUCGAUUUCAAUGUUAUGACUUU